CACACACACACACACACACAAGAGAGGGAGAGAGAGAGAUAGAGAGAGAAAGGGUGGAUGUACCUGUUGGAGGAGGAGCUCAUGUGAUCUUGCACAGGGACACUGAGGAUUGAUAAACCCAAAACCCUGGAUAGAGGGGCUCAGUGAAUGUGGAGUGGAACGUGUGCAGGUGGGUGAGUGUGUC